AGGUGUGAACUCGAGGUUGGACAUUUGAAGUUGCACGAAGAAUGCCACACAGGGGCUUCCAGAUCCUGUCCUGCAAAGAUGUCUCAACUGCAGGUACAAACUGAGUGUUUGCUGGUCCUGCGACAUCGUCCACUCUGCAGCUGAGGCACAUUACUGGGCUCCUGUUAUGUCCACCUCCUGUGUGUGAGAAAGGGCCAAAAAGAUGUCUACAACAAGACCCGUAAAGUCGAGGAAAUCAAAACCCCUGGAGGAGGAUCCCAUAAAGCCAGUGAAUUCACAGCUGUGAUCUGAAUGCCCUGUGACCCCCCCCCCCCUUUCAGAGGCAAGGUGGGACACCCCUCCUCCCAGGUGACAGAUUAAUGAGGCCGCACCCCGGGAUAUAAACUGUAUUGCUGACAUCAGAUAUUAACCUCUAUCAUGUCAUGAGCUUGAGCGGUCCUAGUAUUCCUGAGGGCA